AAAGGCUGUCCCCCUACACAUUUGCACAUUUCAUGUUUAGCAAACAACUCAAAUGAAUGUGUUCAGUAGUGCACAAUGGGCCCUAACAUCAUCUUUUUCUUAAAUGUAUCAAAGUCAAGAUUGUGGAAAACAGCGAACACAGCAAAUGUGCGUGUUCCUUCGCCUUGUCUCACAGUGGAGAAAAACAUUUGGCCACGACUUGUUGCUAUGCAACCGUAACGCCACCCGCCAGAUUCAGCACCACAACAUGUCUGAAAGAAGAAUGCAUGCGUUGAGUCAAUGUAACUAGCUACAGUAUUAUACUGCUAAAAACGUUAACAUACCCAUUCAAAAGUUAAAUACAAGAAUAAAUAACUAGCUAUAGCCACCAUUAUGUGUCCUAGCUAUAUCUAAGUUAGCUAACUGCUAGCUAAAACUGUAACGUUUAUUAUAUGCUGUCUGACUUUCAAUGAAAGCGUUGUUCCUUUGAAAUGUUAUAUGCCUGUUGGCUAAAGAACCAACAACUACUACAUUUUUAAUGAGCUACUUAACUUACUACAUUUGUUUAUUUAACCCAAAAGACCCAUGUCAUCCAAGGCAGAAAGGUCUCAAGGAGGAAGAUCUGUGAGACGUCCAGCCUCUUGUCUCCUCAAAGAAACCAUCCACGAUAGACCUACUUGCUAAAGAGGAGGAAUACAAAUGUAUAAAUGCAGAGCUGGAGGCAAAAACAGCUGAACUAGUAAGGCAAGCGGAACAGGUUAUGAGUGACCAAAAUGAAGUCCUGUCAAAGCCAAUCUCUUUCCACCUUGAUGUUGACAUUGAGGAUGAGGAGGAGGAUUUCAGGAAUGUGAACAUGCUGGAAUCUUCAGUUAUGAAGUCCACUUCUAAGGCAUCUGCAGUUGAUGAUGUUGCGGUUCUUGAAGAUCGUGUGGAUUUUUCCUUGGCUAAAACAAUACGUAGACAUUGA
rnacentral:lncRNA from 8 species